rnacentral:misc_RNA from 1 species
GAUGAAGAACGCAGCAAAAUGCGAUAAGUAAUAUGAAUUGCAGAAUUCAGUGAAUCAUCGAAUCUUUGAACGCACAUUGCGCCCGCUGGUAUUCCGGCGGGCAUGCCUGUUCGAGCGUCAUUUCAACCCUCAAGCCCCCGGGUUUGGUGUUGGGGAUCGGCUCUGCCCUUCUGGGCGGUGCCGCCCCCGAAAUACAUUGGCGGUCUCGCUGCAGCCUCCAUUGCGUAGUAGCUAACACCUCGCAACUGGAACGCGGCGCGGCCAUGCCGUAAAACCCCAACUUCUGAAUGUUGACCUCGGAUCAGGUAGGAAUACCCGCUGAACUUAAGCAUAUCAAUAAGCGGAGGA